rnacentral:rRNA from 1 species
GGGACGAACGCUGGCGGCGUGCUUAACACAUGCAAGUCGAGCGGUAAGGCCUUUCGGGGUACACGAGCGGCGAACGGGUGAGUAACACGUGGGUGAUCUGCCCUGCACUCUGAGAUAAGCUUGGGAAACUGGGUCUAAUACCGGAUAUGACCACAGUGCGCAUGUGUUGUGGUGGAAAGAUUUAUCGGUGCAGGAUGGGCCCGCGGCCUAUCAGCUUGUUGGUGGGGUAAUGGCCUACCAAGGCGACGACGGGUAGCCGACCUGAGAGGUGACCGGCCACACUGGGACUGAGACACCGGGCCCAGACCUCCGUACGGGAGGACAGGCGAGGUGGGGGAAACUUAGUUGGACAACGAAGUGGGGACGGAAGCCUGGAUGCAGGCCGACGGCCGCGUGAGGG